rnacentral:rRNA from 1 species
AUAUUGGUCAAUGGGCGAGAGCCUGAUGCAGCGACGCCGCGUGAGUGAAGAAGUAUUUCGGUAUGUAAAGCUCUAUCAGCAGGGAAGAGAAUGACGGUACCUGAGUAAGAAGCCCCGGCUAACUACGUGCCAGCAGCCGCGGUAAUACGUAGGGGGCAAGCGUUAUCCGGAUUUACUGGGUGUAAAGGGAGCGUAGACGGCAAAGCAAGUCUGAAGUGAAAGCCCGGGGCUCAACCCCGGGACUGCUUUGGAAACUGUUUUGCUAGAGUGCUGGAGAGGUAAGCGGAAUUCCUAGUGUAGCGGUGAAAUGCGUAGAUAUUAGGAGGAACACCAGUGGCGAAGGCGGCUUACUGGACAGUAACUGACGUUGAGGCUCGAAAGCGUGGGGAGCAAACAG